AUCCUAUUCACAGAGCUAGUUAUGCGCGUCGAACGAGUCUAUCCUGUCUGUAAUAGACUGUGCUUGCACUGAUUUCAACAAUGAAGCGAGUGGCGAACUGGUGAGUAACACGUGGGAAAUCUGCCCAGAAGCAGGGGAUAACACUUGGAAACAGGUGCUAAUACCGUAUAACAACAAAAUCCGCAUGGAUUUUGUUUGAAAGGUGGCUUCGGCUAUCACUUCUGGAUGAUCCCGCGGCGUAUUAGUUAGUUGGUGAGGUAAAGGCCCACCAAGACGAUGAUACGUAGCCGACCUGAGAGGGUAAUCGGCCACAUUGGGACUGAGACACGGCCCAAACUCCUACGGGAGGCAGCAGUAGGGAAUCUUCCACAAUGGACGAAAGUCUGAUGGAGCAAUGCCGCGUGAGUGAAGAAGGGUUUCGGCUCGUAAAACUCUGUUGUUAAAGAAGAACACCUUUGAGAGUAACUGUUCAAGGGUUGACGGUAUUUAACCAGAAAGCCACGGCUAACUACGUGCCAGCAGCCGCGGUAAUACGUAGGUGGCAAGCGUUGUCCGGAUUUAUUGGGCGUAAAGCGAGCGCAGGCGGUUUUUUAAGUCUGAUGUGAAAGCCUUCGGCUUAACCGGAGAAGUGCAUCGGAAACUGGGAGACUUGAGUGCAGAAGAGGACAGUGGAACUCCAUGUGUAGCGGUGGAAUGCGUAGAUAUAUGGAAGAACACCAGUGGCGAAGGCGGCUGUCUAGUCUGUAACUGACGCUGAGGCUCGAAAGCAUGGGUAGCGAACAGGAUUAGAUACCCUGGUAGUCCAUGCCGUAAACGAUGAGUGCUAAGUGUUGGAGGGUUUCCGCCCUUCAGUGCUGCAGCUAACGCAUUAAGCACUCCGCCUGGGGAGUACGACCGCAAGGUUGAAACUCAAAGGAAUUGACGGGGGCCCGCACAAGCGGUGGAGCAUGUGGUUUAAUUCGAAGCUACGCGAAGAACCUUACCAGGUCUUGACAUCUUCUGCCAAUCUUAGAGAUAGACGUUCCCUUCGGGACAGAUGACAGGUGUGCAUGUUGUCGUCAGCUCGUGUCGUGAGAUGUUGGGUUAGUCCCGCAACGAGGCGCAACCCUAUA
rnacentral:rRNA from 1 species